ensembl:lncRNA
CCCUCUACACUGGAUGUGUUAAUUAACACCAUUAUGUUCCCUAGUUCCUGUAACACUUUGUGGAAACCUAGCUCAAUACAGUAAACAGAAUGACACAGUUCUUUCCACUAGAAGUUUUAUUUGUUUUUAAACAGAAACAAAAAUUUUUUAAUACAAGCACUCACUUAGGAACCCUUCUGCUUCUUUAAGUAUGCUAUUCAAACAAAGUUCUGGAUGCCUGCUGAUCUAUAACAACCUGUAGAUAAGUCAGAAAACACAGGCUUAACCAAACCAUACUUUUCUUCAUUGUUUGGCCAUCACAGCUCUUCCAAUGUCCAUGGUCAAAAUACACAUGAUACCAACACUGAAGAGUUAGCAGUACAGCCAUACGUUGUACAAGCUCAAGCUGAACAAGCUUCCCCAUUCACUACUAUGACUGCAGUUCAAGUCUGAAUGGACAGUCUCCUGCUAUUCCAGGCCUCCUCUUCUCAAACUGAAACUGCCUGGUUUGUCACUGCUCAGCUAAAUAUAAUGCACAAGUGAAACAUCCUAGUUUUGGUGAAGCUUAAGAGAUCCAGCUGGUGCCAACACUCAAGACAUUAGCUUAUCCCUCCCCAUUUAUUUCUAGAAUAGAAGCAUCUAUCAUGGUUUCCCACGACUCUCUUCUCCAAAAGGAUUUCCUAACCGUAUAGCACACACACUUUUUAAAGAAAAAGGCCAUCACCAAGGCAAGGUAAUGGUUAUGUACACAGCCUGCAUUAGCUUCCACGUGAGAGCUGCUCAAGUUCUGAUGCCUGCAACACUUCAGUCUCUUGUACCACCUUCCUCCUAACUAGCUUCAUAUUCACCCUGGCUCCCAGCUCUGCAGACACCAGCUGGAUCACCUGAGCUGGAACAAGGAGUGAGGGAGCCCACAGACCUCAAUUGCAUUAUUUUCCUUAUUUAAGAUUGGCAGAGAGGCAGCUUGACAAAAAAAAAAUUGUAGACAACCCUCCACUUUGUAUUUCCAGGCAGCUGGAAACCCAGCAGACAAUGUAGCUGUUGCUUAACAAACACAGAAAUCUACAUUGUAUGCCAGGUUCAUGCCCCAAACCUGGACAGUCUUCCCACACAACUGAUUAACAGCAGCUGUGCGCACCGCAGUUCACAGUACAUUUCCUCCCCUACUAUGCAAUAGUCACACAAUCAGACAAGAUACCAUUUUCAACACCUAUCCUUUGAUUAGGGUAGGCUGAAGAUUCUUCAGUGAAAAAGUCCGAUUAUUUUUAUAGUUCCAAUUUACAGAUACCAGUUAAACUACAGCCCCCACAACAGGCUACAGAAAAUAUUUCUGCUUCCCAAUAUAAAACAUCCAGAUAGUUAAUCUGAUUCCCACUGUAAAGAAGAUCCAACAUCCAAUAUAUCCAAUUCUUUACUUGGGGCCACACCUCUGACGUUAACUUGUUAGCACUGUGAACUUGCUCUGCACCAAGGAGAGAAGACAGAAAUCC